UACGUAGGUGGCAAGCGUUGUCCGGAUUUACUGGGCGUAAAGGAUGCGUAGGCGGACAUUUAAGUCAGAUGUGAAAUACCCGAGCUUAACUUGGGUGCUGCAUUUGAAACUGGGUGUCUAGAGUGCAGGAGAGGUAAGUGGAAUUCCUAGUGUAGCGGUGAAAUGCGUAGAGAUUAGGAAGAACACCAGUGGUGAAGGCGACUUACUGGACUGUAACUGACGCUCAUGCACGAAAGCGUGGGGAGCAAACAGG
rnacentral:rRNA from 1 species